rnacentral:rRNA from 1 species
GACGAACGCUGGCGGCGUGCCUAAUACAUGCAAGUCGAACGCAGUGGGGACGGGUGAGUAACACGUGGGUAACCUCCCAUCAGAGGGGAUAACACUUGGAAACAGGUGCUAAACCGAUACUGAUGGAUGGACCCGCGGUGCAUUAGCUAGUUGGUGAGGUAACGGCUCACCAAGGCCACGAUGCAUAGCCGACCUGAGAGGGGGAUCGCGGAAACUGUGACUGAGAAACGGCACAGACUCCUAUGGUAGGGAGCAGGAGGGAAGCUUGGGCAAUGGACGAAAGUCUGACCGAGCGACGCCGCGUGAGUGAAGAAGGUUGUCGGAUCGUAAAACUUUGUUGUUAGAGAAGCGGUAUCUAAUCAGAAAGCCACGGCUAACUACGUGCCAGCAGCCGCGGUAAUAC